AGUAGUAAUAGUAAGUAGUAGUAGUAAUAGUAAGUAGUAGUAGUAAUAGUAAGUAGUAGUAGUAAUAGUAAUAGUAAUAGUAGUAAAAGUGAGAAGUAGUAAGUAGUAGUGGAGGACGAAGUCAUGUGUAGAAGUUCUUGCAAGUGAGGAAAGCUCUUUGAUUGCCAUUCACUUUGAAGUGGCCAGAAACGAUUAUUUUACAAAUGGCUCAAGCAGCUCACGACUUCCGAUCCUAGACCAAGUAUCCUCUGGGUAGGCAAAGAACAUCUGUUUUAAGGCGAAUCAUCUCCUCCACAGGGUUGUGCGCUGGGUUUGGGACCCGCCACGUAAAAUACACUACCAAUGAAAAGUAAUCGACAGCCUCGGAUGAGAGACCCCCCCUUUGAGGGCAUGCACCUGGAAUGUUCGGUCCCUUAAUUGGGAAGGUGCCGCUGCCCAGCUGGUUGAUGUCCUCGUUAGAGUGAAGGCUACAUAGUAGUAUAAAGUAGUAGUAAUAGUAGUAGUAGAAAGUAGUAAUAGUAGUAGUAGUAAAUAGUAGUAGUAGUAGAAAGUAGUAGUAGUAGUAGAAAGUAGUAGUAGUAGUAGAAAGUAUUAGUAGUAGUAGAAAGUAGUAGUAAGCCCGCCAAUUAAAUAAAAUACCAUUUUUUAUAGCACUUAUGUAUUUAUUUCACUUUGUAAACAAUUUUUCUUAUAACAACGUUAUAAAACAAUAUUUUUCUUUUUUUAUUAUUAUAUAAUAUCUUAAAUUUAUUUUUAAUUUUUACAAAAAUCAAAAACAAAAAAAUAUGUGGCAAGCUUGCUAAAAUACAGCAAAGGCUCCAUUAGUUGCAUAAAACUUAUGCGUAAAAACAAUAUGGCACCCUCUAAUUAAAAAAAAAAUAAUAAAAAUUUGUGAUGAAUAUGUUGACCGCUAA